GUGGGGAAUAUUGCACAAUGGGGGAAACCCUGAUGCAGCAACGCCGCGUGAGUGAUGAAGGUCUUCGGAUUGUAAAACUCUGUCUUUGGGGACGAUAAUGACGGUACCCAAGGAGGAAGCCACGGCUAACUACGUGCCAGCAGCCGCGGUAAUACGUAGGUGGCAAGCGUUGUCCGGAUUUACUGGGCGUAAAGGGAGCGUAGGCGGAUUUUUAAGUGGGAUGUGAAAUACCCGGGCUUAACCUGGGUGCUGCAUUCCAAACUGGAAGUCUAGAGUACAGGAGGGGAAAGUGGAAUUCCUAGUGUAGCGGUGAAAUGCGUAGAGAUUAGGAAGAACACCGGUGGCGAAGGCGACUUUCUGGACUGUAACUGACGCUGAGGCUCGAAAGCGUGGGGAGCAAACAGGAUUAGAAACCCUAGUAGUCC
rnacentral:rRNA from 1 species